rnacentral:tmRNA from 1 species
CUUAUUGGACCCGGGGGCAGUACCCGGCGCCUCCACCAAAAUAUAAUCAACAAGCUUAUACUUUGGUGGGGGCGAAAUAGGGACGACAAGGGUGUAAAGAUUGCUCUUUUACUCGGCAUUGUACCACCGUCAUCGGACUAAAUUAAUAGUUGCAAACGACAACUAUGCGGAAGCACGUCUUGCUGCUUAAGCAGUGUGAAGGCUUCAAAUUAAGCCUUAAACCGUCGCAGGUUUAAGCGGGGUUCGGAGG